AGGUGUGAUAUGUGCGAAUUGGAGCUCAGGCUGGGGGAUUACUUCAUUUCCAAUUUCAGUUAGGUGGUGAUGAAGAAAUUGAAAAAGCUUACCGAUCGACUUAGUCUGUAGCUCGUAUUGAAUAGUAGCUGUGUUGAGCCGUAUCGGAGCCUGUUGAAUUACCAAAUUGAGCCAUUCAGUUGUUAAUUGUAUGUUUCUUUUUAUCAAUUUUUAUAAUUCAUAAUUUUUGUGAUAGAUGCAUCUUUUGUCCGUUUACAUCAUGGGCUCAUUACAUAAUUUUGUAUAACUUAUGCAUUUGGA